rnacentral:lncRNA from 1 species
AUGGCGCCGAAAGCAAAUAAGGAAGCUCCUGCCCCUCCUAAAGCCGAAGCCAAAGUGAAGGCUUUAAAGGCCAAGAAGGCAGUGUUGAAAGGUGUCCACAGCCACUAAAAAAAAGAUCCCACAUGUCACCCACCUUCCAGCAGCCCAAGACACUGUGACUCCGGAGGCAGCCCAAAUAUCCUCGAAAGAGCACCCCCAGGAGAAACAAGCUUGGCCACUCUGCAAUCAUCACGUUGCCGCUGACCACUGAGUCCACCAUCAAGAAGAUAGAAGACAAUGACACACUUUCGUUCAUUGUGGACAUUGAAGCCAACAAGCACCAGAUCAAACAGCAUGUGAAGUAGCUCUAUGACAUGGAUGUGGCCAAGGUCAACACCCUGAUUCAGCCUGAUGAAGAGAAGAAGGCAUAUGUUCGACUGGCUCCUGAUUAUGAUGCUUUGGAUGUUGCCAACAAAAUUGGGAUCAUCUAA